GACGAACGCUGGCGGCGUGCUUAACACAUGCAAGUCAAGGGGCCGCAAGGUAACCGGCGAACGGGUGCGUAACACGUGAGCAAUCUGCCUAGAUGUGGGGGAUAGCCGGCCCAACGGCCGGGUAAUACCGCAUACGCUCGUCGACUGGCAUCAGUUGACGAGGAAACUUUCGAGGCAUCUAGAGGAGCUCGCGGCCUAUCAGCUAGUUGGUGGGGUAACGGCCUACCAAGGCGGUGACGGGUAGCUGGUCUGAGAGGAUGGCCAGCCACAUUGGGACUGAGAUACGGCCCAGACUCCUACGGGAGGCAGCAGUGGGGGAAUAUUGCGCAAUGGCCGAAAGGCUGACGCAGCGACGCCGCGUGGGGGAUGAAGCAUUUCGGUGUGUAAACCCCUGUUGCUCGGGACGAACAAGCCUUUUCGAGGGCUCUGACGGUACCGAGUGAGGAAGCACCGGCUAACUCCGUGCCAGCAGCCGCGGUAAU
rnacentral:rRNA from 1 species